AGCAAAAUCUGUUCAUAGAAAUCUAUGAAUAGACAUAUUUUUAGGGCUGUACAAAAUAGUUCGAAGUGUUGAAGCUUAGUGCAUAACAUUCACAUUCGAAUUCUAAAUCAACAUUCGAAUGUUGCGCAUUCGAAAUUUAACUAAAGACAACUGGGAAGUGUCACCUUCAACCACCAUGUUACUCCUUUAACCCUUUAACUGACUUCUCAACCAUGCGGUAGAGCUGACUUUGACAGUGAAAAAACCUAUGAAAAAAAAAAAGCUGCCCAGCAUCCUGAUUGGUGUGGGGCUCCAACCCCCCUUAAAAGAGUAUCUUUUUUCAACACAACUAUGUAGAGCAGCAGUUCCUGAACUUUCCCCACUCUGACAACGGAGGCAGCACCACAGAUCACUCCCCAAAGAUUAGGGCAUAAAGCAGGAAUUUGGCAGGUAAGGGAUAAACCAUGAUGUUUUUCAGAUAGAAGAGACCUUAAAGAAUAGGAAUAUGAUAUUAAAUAUCAAAAAUGUUAAAAAUCCAUUGUGCCAGAAUUUUACAAAAACAUGCUCAACCGUGCGGUUGAUAUGUCAGUAAAGAGUGGAAAUGACCAUGAGGCAGGGCAGAUGUUAGCAUAGUAGUUAGUGUGGUAGGAAGAUGUUUGAGUGGAAAAAGUGAACAAAUACAAUGAAAUUAUAUUAUAUUACUAAAACACAAUAUUAUCUUAUUACAUUAUACACUGCCUGGCCAAAAAAAAAAGGUUGCAGUUUGGAUUUUUUUGGACAGUGCCCACUGUACAAGCCUCUGGAGGCAGUGUUAUGAUCUGGGGUUGCUUCAGUUGGUCAGGUCUAGGCUCAGCAAUGUUAUGCGGCAAUAAAAUUAAGUCAGCUGAGGACCUGAAUGUACUGAAUGACCAGGUUAUUCCACCAAUGGAUUUUUUCUUCCCUGACGGCACGGGCAUAUUCCAGGACGACAAUGCCAAGAUUCAUCGCACUCAUAUUGUGAAAGAGUUGUUCUGGGAGCAUGAGGAAUCAUUUUCACACAUGAAUUGGCCACCACAGGGUCCUGACCUUAACCUCAUUAAAAAUCUUUGAGAUGUGCUGGAGAAGACUUUACGGAGUGGUUUGACUCUCCCAUUGUCAAUGCAAGAUAAUGCAAUUCUGGACAUAAAUAAAUGUGACGUUGCAUAAGGUUGUCGAAACAAUGCCACGGCGAAUGUGCAUGCACAUAUAUGUUAUGGGAAAACAUGUAGUGCAGUGUAUUGUUUCAUUCUUAGUGAUGGACACCAAAUUUUUCUAUGGCAGAGGAAAGGGUAGCAAAGCUGUGGUCCCCCUUGAUCCAGAGGAGUCAGACAUAGAGGACAGUGGUGAGGACUUGGAUGAUCCUGACUAUGUGCCAAGGCACACAGGUGACACACUGAAGAGUUACCAAUCCCUGAGCUUAUUGAGCCUGAUACACGCCCAGCCUGUGGCCCACAGUGAGGGCGAUGCAAACUCUGCCCAAAGGGGGUGCCACGAUGGAAGUGUGCAGAGUGCGGAGUCUUCCUGUGUCCAAACAGCACACAGCAGUGCUUUGUCACGUAUCAUCUCAAAUGAAAGCUGAAAAUGAGGUGAAUAAGAGAUUCCAAAUCUGAUCAGUUGAAAAAAUAUGUUCAGGACUGAGCAUGAACUCAAAUACCUGCAAUGGGUGUUUUUUAAAGUUUAAAGUUUUUAAAGUUUUGUUCAUGAGUUUAUACUUAAAAUAAAAUGACGAUGUAUGAAACGGUGCCUGAUUAUAAAGCAGAAAUGCCACACAAUGGAGUAUCUAUACAUGUAUACAGAUGUUUGUUCCAAAUCGUAGUUAAUGAUAUGUUCGAUAUGAAAUAUGUAAUCAAAAUGAAAUCAGUGAUACCUGGAAUGAAUGUUUUUUUACAUACAUAUUUAAACUGUUUUGUUCAUAGAAACAAAAUAGUUUAAACUUAUAAAAUGACAAUCAAACAGUGUCUAAUUUCUGGAUGUAUUUGGGAUGGGGAAAAUGCAUAGUUGUAUUUUCCCCAUCCCUGGAACAUAAUUCAGGUCUGAAGGGGUUCGUCUGAAUUAAUUCGUCUCAAAUUUACAAACAAUGACCACUCAAUGUCGAGCUUUCAAAACGUCAAGGAGGAUUCAUUCUGAAGUUAUGCUUCUUUAUAUAAUAGUGUGCCAGUAUGGGUGCAGUGAGUGGGUGGCAGAGACAGCGACUGGUUCCAACAUCACGGUGAAAGUGGGGGACAGCAUCAUGUUUCCUUUCUCAGCUGAGGGCAACCAAAGCUACACCGCUGACCUACUUUUUAAUACAUUUACAAUCGUUACAUGGCAUUUUCCUGACAUGAGCAGUUUUGUUCGAGAACAACAUAAGGGAAGGGUCAGCAUUGGCAAUGACUCGAUAUGGCUGAACAAUUUAAGCCUAUCAGAUUCUGGCCUUUAUCAAGUUAAAACUAAGUACGAAUCUGGAGGUUUCAAGUCUCCGGAGUACACAUACUUUCAUCUGCAGGUUUUUGGUAAGUUGCCAGAAAGCACAUUUCACAUUUCUGGAGGUUUUUGCACCUGUAGCUCCCCAUAUUUUGUUGUCCAUUUUGUCAGUGUUUUAUUAAAUUAUUAUAGGGAAUGCAUAAUUUUAAUCAGGGAUGAUAAGAAUAGUUUAGGGACUGAUUACACUAGCUGGCCUUACACUUGGAAUGUCAACAAUGAAAGUUGGCCAAACUUUAAACCUAACUAGACUGUUAAUACUUCCACAAAAUUAUUUCCUGGUUUCUGGGGUACACUGUAAUUCUUGACAUUGCAACAUUUGUCAUUUGUUAAGCAUGAGAUAAUGUCAGAUGGCCUGAACCUCUUAGUGAAUGUUUAAUGCUUGCUUUGUGUUCAAUAUGAGCAUGUAGCCAAGUAAAUUCUUUGAUUAUUUCUCCUGUAGAGCCCGUCUCUAAACCCAACAUCACAGCUGAAUGCCUGGGGAGUAAUGUAUGUCUGAGCUGCUUCAGCAAUCAGGGGACUGAAGUGACUUACAGCUGGGAAACUCUGCCCCCUUGUAAUGACAGCUGUGUGCACCUGGGCCAAGCGGUAGACCUCCAGUUACAAGCCCUCUCUCCAUCCACAACAUACACGUGUACAGCCCAUAACCCUGUCAGCAGAACCACCAGCGAUUCUGUUGAUCUGGAAAUGUGCUUCCUGCAAGGAUCACAAGUUAGAUGGGUUCCAGCCUUGUGUGCCACAUCAGCAUUCCUCGUCUUCGGAGUACUAAUACUGCUGUACAAGAGAAAAAAAGCACAAACAGUACAAAAGUGAAACAAUUCAAGUUGAAGUUGAUAAGCCAGUCAUGGAAGAGGAGCCACCGUCUGCAAGGCCUUCUAUUGAUCCAGUAUGUGUCUAUUAUAUGGACCAGAACAAAGCAAAAUGGUUCACAUUGCAAAGAGCAAUGUGAAGCCCUGUUGAAAUUGACAGUGACAGCAACCUUGAUUAAAGUUACGUAUCUGGAAAACUUCAAACUAAUAAAGGUAUAGAAAUCCUAAUAUUCUAGCAGGUUCUUACCAAUGAUACAUUAAAGAGGUGAUCCGGCUCAUUGGUGAGAAGUCGGGCAUGAGCUUUCCAUCUGUGGUGCAUCUCUUAUUGAAAUGACUCCAAGAUAAAUCAUUGCUGGCUACUGAAACGAAGGAAGCUAAUUAAUUCUGUUCUCAUUUUAUUUUACCUCCUGCGAUUGUUUCAUUCAUCUUUGCAUUUCAACCAUGUAAAUCACUCUGGAUAAGAAUUUC